UACACCAUAUACCAGUAGACUGCAUUUACCAGAACACUGCAAUUCUUGUAAUGCAUUCAUUGAUCUGAACGCCAAAUGAGUUUUUCUGAUGUGCCUUCAGAUUCUUUCGGUAGUCACACAAAACCUGAUGGUGCUACUGGAGGUAAUGCCAAAGACAGUACAUGUUCUUCUCAAGCUGAAGAGUGAAGAUCUCUGAAUGCACAAGUAAGCAGUGUCCUACAGGCAGCUAGACUUUCUGGAGCCCCUUGAAGUGCACCAGACCAACACAAGGAAAUUGGACACCGAGACAGACACACAUGGAGGGACGUUGAUAUGAAGACACACAGGUAGAAGCUGGCCGUCUACAGGCCAAGGGGACAGGCCUGGAACAAAUUCGUCCCUCACAGCCCUCAGAUGAAGACAACCCUGCGACAUGCUGAUCUUGGACUUCUGGCCUCCCAGACGUUUUCUCCUGAGGUCCUAAGUUUUUUCCUUCUUCCAUCGUUCCACCUAACACCGGCAAGAGGAAGCAGCGUAGCAGAGCGUGGAGUGUGGAAGGGUCUCUGGGGCCAGCCCGUGUGGGUGGAAUCCGAGCAGCUCCGUUCAGCUAUGUGACUUCAGGCAAGUUACUUCAGCUUCCUGAGCCCCUGCUUCUCUACUGUAAAACAGGGGCAACAGUAGUACCUAUUUCACAGGGUUGUCGUGAUGAUUGAAUUAGCUAUUUGUAACGUUAUUGGAAGAAUGCCUAGUUUUAAAAAAUGUGUUUGUUAAAUAACUUAAGAAGGAAAACACAGCUACACACUAAA